UACGUAGGGUGCGAGCGUUAAUCGGAAUUACUGGGCGUAAAGCGUGCGCAGGCGGUUCGCCAAGUCAGGUGUGAAAUCCCCGGGCUUAACCUGGGAAUUGCGCUUGAAACUAGCGGGCUUGAGUGCGGCAGAGGGGGGUGGAAUUCCGCGGUGUAGCAGUGAAAUGCGUAGAUAUGCGGAGGAACACCGAUGGCGAAGGCAGCUUGCUGGGACGGUACUGACGCUGAGACGCGAAAGCGUGGGGAGCAAACAGG
rnacentral:rRNA from 1 species